rnacentral:rRNA from 1 species
AAAACGACUCUCGGCAACGGAUAUCUCGGCUCUCGCAUCGAUGAAGAACGUAGCGAAAUGCGAUACUUGGUGUGAAUUGCAGAAUCCCGUGAACCAUCGAGUCUUUGAACGCAAGUUGCGCCCCAAGCCUUYUGGCCGAGGGCACGUCUGCCUGGGUGUCACAA